GAAGAAGAUGAAGCAAAGGGGAGAGAGAGAACCUGGUCAGAUAUUUAAAACCAGAUUUCAUUAAAGAUCAGAGCUCUUGUGGGGACAGGGAUCAACUAUGCAAAUAAUGGAAAUGAUCUUCUAUGACCUAACAAGACUAUUUUUGAGAAGAGGUCAUCAUCUGAGAUAACUAACAUGGGUGAAAUGCUGGAGAUGGACCUCACAUGGAGAGAUUAUACAAGCUGUAUGUGUGGAUCAUUUGUAUUUGUUAAGGCAGUCCAACUAGAAUGACUGAAUUUUGCUGCUAUAAGACAGGAAAGACAGAAACUAAUAAGGAGAAAAGAAGGCAGAGAAAUCCACAUAAUCAGACAUGUGAAAUGAAGACAUUUCAAGUAAGACUGAAACAGUUUUUAAAAUGAAGUUUGUUUGAUUUCUUCUUUUUUCCCCUU
rnacentral:lncRNA from 1 species